rnacentral:tRNA from 1 species
UAAAUUUUAGUUUAAAUUAAAAUUUAAUAGUUACAAUAUUAAGAUAUAAAAAUAUAAAUUUAA